GUGCCAGCCGCCGCGGUAAGACGUAGGGGGCUAGCGUUGUCCGGAAUCACUGGGCGUAAAGAGCUCGUAGGCGGCCUGUUAAGUCGGGUGUGAAAUCCCUCGGCUCAACCGAGAAAUUGCACUCGGUACUGGCAGGCUAGAGUCAAGCAGAGGGAAGUGGAAUUCCCGGUGUAGCGGUGAAAUGCGCAGAUAUCGGGAAGAACACCGGUGGCGAAGGCGGCUUCCUGGGCUUGCACUGACGCUGAGGAGCGAAAGCUAGGGGAGCGAACAGGAUUAGAUACCCUGGUAGUCCUAGCCGUAAACGAUGGGCACUAGGUGUGGGGGGUUACCAAAUCCUUCCGUGCCGAAGCUAACGCAUUAAGUGCCCCGCCUGGGGAGUACGGCCGCAAGGCUAAAACUCAAAUAAAUUGACGG
rnacentral:rRNA from 1 species